CCUACGGGAGGCAGCAGUAGGGAAUAUUGCUCAAUGGGGGAAACCCUGAAGCAGCAACGCCGCGUGGAGGAUGAAGGUUUUAGGAUUGUAAACUCCUUUUGGUAGAGAAGAAGAUGACGGUAUCUAUCGAAUAAGCACCGGCUAACUCCGUGCCAGCAGCCGCCGUAAUACGGAGGGUGCAAGCGUUACUCGGAAUUACUGGGCGUAAAGCGUGCGGAGGCGGGGUAAUAAGUCAGAUGUGAAAUCCUGUAGCUUAACUACAGAACUGCAUUUGAAACUGGUACGCUGGAGUGUGGGAGAGGUAGGUGGAAUUCUUGGUGUAGGGGUGAAAUGCGUAGAGAUCAGGAGGAAUACUCGUGGCGAAGGCGGCCUGCUGGAACAUUACUGACGCUGAUGCACGAAAGCGUGGGGAGCAAACAGGAUUAGAUACCCUUGUAGUC
rnacentral:rRNA from 1 species